UACGGAGGGUGCGAGCGUUGUCCGGAAUCACUGGGCGUAAAGGGCGCGUAGGCGGCGUGGUAAGUCACUUGUGAAAUCUCUGAGCUUAACUCAGAACGGCCAAGUGAUACUGCUGUGCUAGAGUGCAGAAGGGGGCAAUCGGAAUUCUUGGUGUAGCGGUGAAAUGCGUAGAUAUCAAAGAGGAACACCUGAGGUGAAGACGGGGUUGCUGGGGCUGACACUGACGUGAGGCGCGAAAAGCCCAGGGGGGAGCAAAACGGGG
rnacentral:rRNA from 1 species